GUCAACCUCCAUCAAGCAACGAGACGCUCCAAUAUGUAGACUCAGACUACACUUGUGGCAUCUUCUCUGUAGUUUUUUAUGGGAAUGCUGUCUACUUUGACAUACGUGUGAAGAACACCAUGAUUGAGGAACCAAAUCCUGAGUGCGUUAGAAAAUUCAAGGAACUAGCUUUUGGUACAAUUACAACAGUAUAUCGGAAGAAUUGCACGUUGUCUAAAUAGAGGUGAAAGAAAUCUCUCAAGACCCACCAAAACAUAUUCCAGUGAAGUAGUGACCUAAUAAACUUCCACCGAUCAAAAGU